UACGAAGGGGGCUAGCGUUGCUCGGAAUCACUAGGCGUAAAGCGCACGUAGGCGGACUCUUAAGUCAGGGGUGAAAUCCUGGAGCUCAACUCCAGAACUGCCUUUGAUACUGAGGAUCUUGAGUUCGGGAGAGGUGAGUGGAACUGCGAGUGUAGAGGUGAAAUUCGUAGAUAUUCGCAAGAACACCAGUGGCGAAGGCGGCUCACUGGCCCGAUACUGACGCUGAGGCACGAAAGCGUGGGGAGCGAACAGG
rnacentral:rRNA from 1 species